AACGAACGCUGGCGGCAUGCCUAACACAUGCGAGUCGAACGAGACCUUCGGGUCUAGUGGCGCACGGGUGCGUAACGCGUGGGAACCUGCCCUUAGGUUCGGAAUAACUCCCCGAAAGGGGUGCUAAUACCGGAUAAUGUCUUCGGACCAAAGAUUGAUCGCCUUUGGAUGGGCCCGCGUUGGAUUAGCUAGUUGGUAGGGUAAACGCCUACCAAGGCGACGAUCCAUAGCUGGUCUGAGAGGAUGAUCAGCCACACUGGGACUGAGACACGGCCCAGACUCCUACGGGAGGCAGCAGUGGGGAAUAUUGGACAAUGGGCGAAAGCCUGAUCCAGCAAUGCCGCGUGAGUGAUGAAGGCCUUAGGGUUGUAAAGCACUUUUACCCGGGAUGAUAAUGACAGUACCGGGAGAAUAAGCACCGGCUAACUCCGUG
rnacentral:rRNA from 1 species